rnacentral:tRNA from 1 species
AGGAUAUUAGUUUAAAUCAAAACAUUUAACUUGCACUUAAAAAAUAAAUAUUUUUUUUAUAUCUUA